CCUGUCUCACCAGUACAGCUGCUCCAGAUUCACGUGUUGCUAUUCCUAGCCGCACCCAGGAGCUAUAAAUAGGUGCCUUUCUUUGCAGACUGCUGAAACACGUGCUGCCAGCCUUUGAGGCGAGAGGAGCCAAUCAGUGGAGAUUCUGUUGACUGAGUGGAACCAUGUGACCUUUUUGUUUUUAGAUGGAUUCUGGUCAUAUCUGUGUUUGUGUCACCAGGCUGGAGCUAAACUGACUCUAGUUGAGGAAUGCUGUUUUGCCUUUGAGUUGCUGAAUACACUUCCAAUAGGCAUCAUUACAGCUGAAACAAAGAGAAACGGUUAUUGAUUGCACGUGCAGCUGGUCUCAGUGAAGAUGUGUUGCUGGGCAACCGUACGCAGAAGUGAGGAGUGGGAGUGGACUCUGACUGAGCCGAAUGACGCAAACAGCAUUUAUCAUCGCCACACAGCUCUAAACAAGGAGAGGGCAAUACAAGUGCACGUUCAAUAUGUCUGCUAACCUAUUCUGGGCGUUCAAAGAACUAAAGAUGUUUACUGCUGCACAAAGAUACUACCUACAUGAAGAAAAUAACAUAUGUGAGUGUCGCCAUAGCAGCCUUUGGAAACUUCAUCACAUCUGUGAUCUGUCAUACCCUCUAAUUUACCAAAGAAAAACUUUUAUUAGAGCAAAACAAGGCAAUAAAGCAAGGGGAUAAUUGUGCUAAGGUGUGUGAAUCAUGCAAAUCCAAGCUUGUUGGAAACUCUUAUGUUGUGAAAUCUUCACUUAGUCUUCAGUGUUCAGUCAACUCUGAUAUCUUUAAUAAUUUAGCUCUCAAUGUGACAAUUAGAUGCUAUUUUCGAGAUGGUGUGUUUCCGUACAGCAUGAAAGAGUGCAAAAAUGUUGUGUGUUUGAUUCAUGCUGGUAAAAAUUAAUGUUUAACUGCAUUGGGUGAAAGUAUCAUCCAUCUCAAAUUAUAUAGAGUAACAUCUGAACAGAUCACGUCUCUCUGGAAGAUUACAGGACGCAUAAUUGUCUUAUUGAUUCUGCACAAUGGCAAGUCAAGAGAAGUAUCUAUUCAUCAGAGCAAGAGUGUUUCACGCAGAUAACUGAUACUCAGGUACAUGUGUGAAGCAGUUCACAUGCAAACCCGUUCACAUUAAGCUGGCAUUCUGAGCCGUUUCACAUACCCAGGUUGAAAGUUUGGCUUGUUUUUGUGCCUGCAGCUGCUGGCCUAAUUUUAGCUGUGGGUCGAUGGCUGAGCUGAUGUAAGAUUGAGCCCUCACAUUAGUCACCUAUUGUGCUGAAUGCAGCUGGAAUCGAAUGGUGACCCUCUGGCCGACUUCCAAGCGCCGACACCUAAUCCAGUAUCUGCUCGUUCACGUGGAGGCCUAUUGAAGGCCUGUUUAUACAGCCACGAGAGGCCAUGAAGUUCAUUCAUGCAGCGAGACCCUCGGCUUCUGUGUCGCUGACAGAUUCUCACACUCUUAUGGCUUGCAGCAGCUGCUGAGCUGUUCACUCGCCAUCAAAUAGUUGCAUUUUGUCCUGAUAUAGCAACUAGGACUUCUAGUAAGGAUGUUGUUCAAAUACAGAUACUGGUUUCAUAACAUUGGCCCAUUUAAUAAGUUGACUGUGAUGGUACAAAGUGUAAUAAAAUUUGAUCAGGCAUACUAUCAUUUGGAAUUUACAAUAAUUGAAAACCAUUCAGGGUGAGCGGAAAACAAUUGCUCACAGUUUGAUUGCACACAGGUAAAAGAUUUAGGUUAUAACAACAUUUUGGGAACAUUGUUUUAAAGCGUUCCUAAAACAUUGAAAUGUCUAGUUUUUCUCUUGUGAUUCUAACAUCAGUUAAAAACGCUCUACUAACCCAAAAUGUACUGUUAUUUGAAUGUUUAUUUUUAGAAUGUUAAAAUGUCUGAUUUUCUUGUAAUUAGAAGGUUAUUUAACGGUUAUAAAAAACAUUUCAUAGGCGUUGGUACAAAAUAAAUAAAUAAAUAAAAACUU